rnacentral:misc_RNA from 1 species
CACCAUUUUCUGACCAUACUUGCGCCAUCGAUAACCAUCACUUGAGAUGCCCCCAUCAGCAGCAGCAUGCACAACAAUCUUAGUCUCUUUAUUAGCUUCCAAGACAGAAGCUGAAUACGCACUCCUUUUUUUCAGUGUACGUUGCACACCAUGCCUCUCCUGAACCUCAGCAUCUGCAAUCCCACAAGAGCUAUUUUUCUGUUGUUCUGCCCCACUUGAA